rnacentral:rRNA from 1 species
GACGAACGCUGGCGGCGUGCUUAACACAUUCAAGUCGAACGGAAAGGCCCUGCUUUUGUGGGGUGCUCGAGUGGCGAACGGGUGAGUAACACGUGAGUAACCUGCCCUUGACUUUGGGAUAACUUCAGGAAACUGGGGCUAAUACCGGAUAGGAGCUCCUGCUGCAUGGUGGGGGUUGGAAAGUUUCGGCGGUUGGGGAUGGACUCGCGGCUUAUCAGCUUGUUGGUGGGGUAGUGGCUUACCAAGGCUUUGACGGGUAGCCGGCCUGAGAGGGUGACCGGCCACAUUGGGACUGAGAUACGGCCCAGACUCCUACGGGAGGCAGCAGUGGGGAAUAUUGCACAAUGGGUGGAAGCCUGAUGCAGCAACGCCGUGUGCGGGAUGACGGCCUUCGGGUUGUAAACCGCUUUCGCUCAUGACGAAGCUUUGUGUGACGGUAGUGGGUAAAGAAGCACCGGCUAACUACGUG